AACGAACGCUGGCGGCAUGCCUAACACAUGCAAGUCGAACGAGACCUUCGGGUCUAGUGGCGCACGGGUGCGUAACGCGUGGGAACCUGCCCUUAGGUUCGGAAUAACUCCCCGAAAGGGGUGCUAAUACCGGAUAAUGUCUUCGGACCAAAGAUUUAUCGCCUUUGGAUGGGCCCGCGUUGGAUUAGCUAGUUGGUAGGGUAAAAGCCUACCAAGGCGACGAUCCAUAGCUGGUCUGAGAGGAUGAUCAGCCACACUGGGGCUGAGACACGGCCCAGACUCCUACGGGAGGCAGCAGUGGAGAAUAUUGGACAAUGGACGAAAGCCUGAUCCGGCAAUGCGGCGGGAGUGAUGAAGGCCUUAGGGUUGUAAAGCUCUUUUAACCGGGAUGAUAAUGACAGUACCGGGAGAAUAAGCGCCGGCUAACUCCGUG
rnacentral:rRNA from 1 species